UUUCUUGCCGCUGCGUUUUCUGUCUGCUUCUUUUGGACAGUGCUUCUCUCUUGCUUAUCCGCCUGCUCUGCGUCCUGGUGCACGAGCCUGCUAAAAUAUCCGGUUCUCUUCAUUCCUUGUUGUUUAGGUUUCGGUGUUCCCAGGUUCGUCGUCACCCACCACUGGUACGGUCCCCGCUCGUUGGCUAGCUUAACUGACCUAGAGCUGUGGCCUUGGGGUCUUUCUUCCUUUCCGGUUAGAUGCAUACUUUGCUGUAACCUUUCUGCUUGAUCCUUCGCCUGAAACUGAUGUUUUUUCCUGUUUUCUUUGUUUCCUUUCUCGAGCCGCCAAAGGCCUGUCAAACCUCUGUCCUUCGCGUUCUCAGGGUUUCGGUUGUCUAGAUCAACCGCCGUUGGCUAAGCUACGUCUCCUCUCCGUCUCCGUCUUCAGGGCAUUCACUCAGGUCAGAAAUGAAAUGGAAUUGGGCAUCUCCCUCUCCGACACCCAGUAUCACAAGUGCCUCAUCUCCCGGAGGUUCUUCAGACCGAGAAUAACCUCGCAACCGGAGCUUUGUGGAAAUUAUGGCUCCUGUUUUCUCGCGGGAUGCUUGGCGAUGUGUUUGGCAUACGAUUCAGAAUGAUUUGGUGCAUGGUUGGGGAUUGGAUUUUGCGCUAAGGAGAUGUGUGGAGCCUGCACAUGAGAAAAUUGAUGUGGUUGACUCUCAGUGGAUAGUUCAUCAAGUUAUUCCUUCUCUGGGAAGUCAGGGUCAAUCUGAAAAUGGAAAAGCUCCUUGGCAAGGGGUAAGAGAGAGAUGCAGAAGUGAGUGGGCGCAGUUUCAAGAUCGCCUAGCCAAUGCAGAUAAGAAAUAUAUUGAACAGCUUGGGAGAACGAGGUAUUUGAACAACAGAAAGUUUUGUAUCCUUUUAAGUUUUCUUGCAUUUGGCUCUGAUUGGAAAAGAAAUAUAGAGACAUUGGAGAAAAAUAGUGUAACCAGUCUGAGGACAUUGAUCAAUCUUGGUUCUGAAGUGUACAUGCAAGCUGAUGUCAUCUCUGGCCUCCAAAGACGAAAAUUCGCUGAGAAGAUGAGCAACAACCAUGAUGAAAGGAUUAUUUUACUACCAUUACUUCCUUACAAGGACUAAGGACAAUUCAUGAGGUCCUAGAAUCCGAUCAUGAAAUCUCAGAAUCAGUUCUCCAUCGUAUUGUCUCAUCUAUGAAUCCAUUCCUAAAACAUGACUGGACUACAUUCAAUUGCUUCUAUCAAUUUUAUCUAUCAAAGCUGGAUCUGCCAGAAUUUGCGAAUCUAAGGCUAAAUGAAGAUAGUACGCUGACUAUAACUCUUAUGAAUGGUCAUAAAUAUUAUCAUGUUGGUAUGACCGAUAGAUGUUUUGAUCAAAACUGAAACCGUUUUUUUAUUGAUCAUGAUCUAAACAAUGGCCAGAUAUUGCUUUUUAUUCCACAAUCCAAGACUCCCUUUGCUGUGCUGGUGUUUGACCGCAAAGGAAUAGAGAAGUUGUUUCCAUGGCAGUUUGCAUUUUCCAUUUGAUGGCACAUCUGAUUUACGCUGAUUCUGCUUCAACGCAAUGCACGGCAUUUGUUGUAUUUAUGUUCUUAAUGGAAAAAAGUUCUGGUUAGAAAAAUGCUUCCAAAGCACUGCAAAUUUAAUGUUUA